rnacentral:rRNA from 1 species
AACGAACGCUGGCGGCAUGCCUAACACAUGCAAGUCGAACGAGACCUUCGGGUCUAGUGGCGCACGGGUGCGUAACGCGUGGGAACCUGCCCUUAGGUUCGGAAUACCUCCCCGAAAGGGGUGCUAAUACCGGAUAAUGUCUUCGGACCAAAGAUUUAUCGCCUUUGGAUGGGCCCGCGUUGGAUUAGCUAGUUGGUAGGGUAAAAGCCUACCAAGGCGACGAUCCAUAGCUGGUCUGAGAGGAUGAUCAGCCACACUGGGACUGAGACACGGCCCAGACUCCUACGGGAGGCAGCAGUGGGGAAUAUUGGACAAGGGGCGAAAGCCUGAUCCAGCAAUGCCGCGUGAGUGAUGAAGGCCUUAGGGUUGUAAAGCUCUUUUACCCGGGAUGAUAAUGACAGUACCGGGAGAAUAAGCACCGGCUAACUCCGUG